rnacentral:rRNA from 1 species
CAAGUCGAACGAACUCUUCGGAGUUAGUGGCGGACGGGUGAGUAACACGUGGGAACGUGCCUUUAGGUUCGGAAUAACUCAGGGAAACUUGUGCUAAUACCGAAUGUGCCCUUCGGGGGAAAGAUUUAUCGCCUUUAGAGCGGCCCGCGUCUGAUUAGCUAGUUGGUGAGGUAAAGGCUCACCAAGGCGACGAUCAGUAGCUGGUCUGAGAGGAUGAUCAGCCACAUUGGGACUGAGACACGGCCCAAACUCCUACGGGAGGCAGCAGUGGGGAAUCUUGCGCAAUGGGCGAAAGCCUGACGCAGCCAUGCCGCGUGAAUGAUGAAGGUCUUAGGAUUGUAAAAUUCUUUCACCGGGGACGAUAAUGACGGUACCCGGAGAAGAAGCCCCGGCUAACUUCGUGCCAGCAGCCGCGGUAAUACGAAGGGGGCUAGCGUUGCUCGGAAUUACUGGGCGUAAAGGGAGCGUAGGCGGACAUUUAAGUCAGGGGUGAAAUCCCGGGGCUCAACCUCGGAAUUGCCUUUGAUACUGGGUGUCUUGAGUAUGAGAGAGGUGUGUGGAACUCCGAGUGUAGAGGUGAAAUUCGUAGAUAUUCGGAAGAACACCAGUGGCGAAGGCGACACACUGGCUCAUUACUGACGCUGAGGCUCGAAAGCGUGGGGAGCAAACAGGAUUAGAUACCCUGGUAGUCCACGCCGUAAACGAUGAUUGCUAGUUGUCGGGAUGCAUGCAUUUCGGUGACGCAGCUAACGCAUUAAGCAAUCCGCCUGGGGAGUACGGUCGCA